rnacentral:rRNA from 1 species
CCUACGGGAGGCAGCAGUAGGGAAUCUUUCACAAUGGGCGAAAGCCUGAUGGAGCAACGCCGCGUGCAGGAUGAAGGCCUUCGGGUUGUAAACGGCUUUUAUAAGCGAGAAAUAUGAUGGUAACUUAUGAAUAAGGAUCGGCUAACUACGUGCCAGCAGCCGCGGUCAUACGUAGGAUCCGAGCAUUAUCCGGAGUUACUGGGUGUAAAGAGUUGCGUAGGUGACAUAAUAAGUAGCUAGUGAAAACUGGUGGCUCAACCAUUCAGACUAUUAGCUAAACUGUUAAGCUCGAGACCGUUAGGGGUAACUGGAAUUUCUAGUGUAGGAGUGAAAUCCGUAGAUAUUAGAAGGAACACCAAUAGCGUAGGCAGGUUGCUGGGACGGUUCUGACACUAAGGCACGAAAGCGUAGGGAGCAAACGGGAUUAGAUACCCCGGUAGUC